rnacentral:RNase_P_RNA from 1 species
CCAGGGGGCCGGGCAGCCGCGUUGCUUUUUGCACCGAGGAAAGUCCGGGCUCCGUGAAACAAGGGUGGCGGGUAACGCCCGCCGAGAGCAAUCUUAGGGACAGUGCCACAGAGAGCAAACCGCCGAUGGCCCAACGGGCACAGGCAAGGCUGAAAGGGUGCGGUAAGAGCGCACCGGGGGCCUGGUAACAGGUCUCGCAAGGUAAACCCCACCUGGAGCAAGGCCGAAUAGGGGCACCGCGCCGAAAGGUAGGGGCGUUUCGACCCGAGGUGCCCGGGUUGGCUGCUCGAGCGGCGGAGCAAUCCGUCGCCUAGAUGAAUGGCUGCCCCCGCGCGGCCGGUGCCUUUGGCAUACCGCGCGCGGGACAGAACCCGGCUUACAGGCCCCCUGGCAAU